rnacentral:misc_RNA from 1 species
GUGAAUCAUCGAAUUUUUGAACGCAAAUUGCACUCUCUUCGGAGAGUAUGCCUGUUUGAGGGUCAGUAUUAAUAAAAAUCUGCGUGUUGCUCUUUUGUGACGUUCCGGAGUUUGGGUCAUCUUAUAACAACACCCUUUCAUGUUAUUUUUAAGUGGCUUUAAAUUGACCUUUUUUAUAAAUUUUAGACGUACAUAAAUUUUUUUUUAUUCGUCUAUCUUAGUACUAAGUCUCUGUUAGAUGCGACCAUAUCGUUUUGUUCUGUUUCUAUAAAUUUUUCAUGAUUUGACCUCAAAUCAGGUA